GGCCAGUUAGCUCAGUCAGUAGAGCGUAGCGCUAACAACGCUAAGGUGCUAAGGUCGUGGGUUCGAUUCACGUUCGGUCCC
rnacentral:tRNA from 1 species